rnacentral:tRNA from 1 species
GCGGACGUAGUUUAAUGGUAGAACCUCAGCCUUCCAAGCUGACUACGUGGGUCCGAUUCCCAUCGUCCGCUCCA